AAUAGAUACCCAGGUAGUCCUAGCAGUAAACGGUGCGCGUUUGGUGUAGGAGGAUUCGACCCCUUCUGUGCCGGAGCUAACGCGUUAAACGCGCCGCCUGGGGAGUACGGUCGCAAGAUUAAAACUCAAAGAAAUUGACGGGGGCCCGCACAAGCGGUGGAGUAUGUGGCUUAAUUUCGAUGCAACGCGAAGAACCUUACCUAGGCUUGACAUGCAUCUCUAAGUCGGUGAAAGCCGGCGACUGUAGCAAUACAGAAUUUGCACAGGUGCUGCAUGGCUGUCGUCAGCUCGUGUCGUGAGAUGUUGGGUUAAGUCCCGCAACGAGCGCAACCCCGUGUGGCCUGUUGCCACCUACCUACGGGGUAGAGCACUCUGGCCAGACUGCCCUGUGAAACGGGGAGGAAGGUGGGGAUGACGUCAAGUCAGCAUGGCCCUUACGCCUAGGGCUGCACACGUACUACAAUGCCCAGUACAGAACGAGCCGAAACCGCGAGGUGGAGGAAAUCCCUAAAACUGGGCUCAAUUCGGAUCGC
rnacentral:rRNA from 1 species